rnacentral:rRNA from 1 species
AUUGAACGCUGGCGGCAGGCCUAACACAUGCAAGUCGAACGAGUGGCGGACGGGUGAGUAAUGUCUGGGAAACUGCCCGAUGGAGGGGGAUAACUACUGGAAACGGUAGCUUAUACCGCAUACCAUCGGAUGUGCCCAGAUGGGCUUAGCUAGUAGGUGGGGUAACGGCUCCCCUAGGCGACGAUCCCUCGCUGGUCUGAGAGGAGGACCAGCCACACGGGAACUGAGACACGGUCCAGACUCCUACGGAGGGCAGCAGUGGGGAAUAUUGCACAAGGGGCGAAAGCCUGAUGCAGCCAUGCCGCGGGUAUGAAGAAGGCCUUCGGGUUAUAAAGUACUUUCAGCGAGGAGGCGUUACUCGCAGAAGAAGCACCGGCUAACUCCGUGCCAGCCGCCGCGGUAAUUC